GCAGUCGACGGUGAGGGGAGCUUGCUCUCUGGAUCAGUGGCGAACGGGUGAGUAACACGUGAGCAAUCUGCCCCUGACUCUGGGAUAACAGUUGGAAACAGCUGCUAAUACUGGAUACGAGACGUGAAGGCAUCUUCAACGUCUGGAAAGAAUUUCGGUCAGGGAUGAGCUCGCGGCCUAUCAGCUUGUUGGUGAGGUAACGGCUCACCAAGGCGUCGACGGGUAGCCGGCCUGAGAGGGUGACCGGCCACACUGGGACUGAGACACGGCCCAGACUCCUACGGGAGGCAGCAGUGGGGAAUAUUGCACAAUGGGCGAAAGCCUGAUGCAGCAACGCCGCGUGAGGGACGACGGCCUUCGGGUUGUAAACCUCUUUUAGCAGGGAAGAAGCGAAAGUGACGGUACCUGCAGAAAAAGCACCGGCUAACUACGUGCCAGCAGCCGCGGUAAUACGUAGGGUGCAAGCGUUAUCCGGAAUUAUUGGGCGUAAAGAGCUCGUAGGCGGUUUGUCGCGUCUGCUGUGAAAACCCGAGGCUCAACCUCGGGCCUGCAGUGGGUACGGGCAGACUAGAGUGCGGUAGGGGAGAUUGGAAUUCCUGGUGUAGCGGUGGAAUGCGCAGAUAUCAGGAGGAACACCGAUGGCGAAGGCAGAUCUCUGGGCCGUAACUGACGCUGAGGAGCGAAAGGGUGGGGAGCAAACAGGCUUAGAUACCCUGGUAGUCCACCCCGUAAACGUUGGGAACUAGUUGUGGGGUCCAUUCCACGGAUUCCGUGACGCAGCUAACGCAUUAAGUUCCCCGCCUGGGGAGUACGGCCGCAAGGCUAAAACUCAAAGGAAUUGACGGGGACCCGCACAAGCGGCGGAGCAUGCGGAUUAAUUCGAUGCAACGCGAAGAACCUUACCAAGGCUUGACAUAUACGAGAACGCUGCAGAAAUGUAGAACUCUUUGGACACUCGUAAACAGGUGGUGCAUGGUUGUCGUCAGCUCGUGUCGUGAGAUGUUGGGUUAAGUCCCGCAACGAGCGCAACCCUCGUUCUAUGUUGCCAGCACGUAAUGGUGGGAACUCAUGGGAUACUGCCGGGGUCAACUCGGAGGAAGGUGGGGAUGACGUCAAAUCAUCAUGCCCCUUAUGUCUUGGGCUUCACGCAUGCUACAAUGGCCGGUACAAAGGGCUGCAAUACCGUAAGGUGGAGCGAAUCCCAAAAAGCCGGUCCCAGUUCGGAUUGAGGUCUGCAACUCGACCUCAUGAAGUCGGAGUCGCUAGUAAUCGCAGAUCAGCAACGCUGCGGUGAAUACGUUCCCGGGUCUUGUACACACCGCCCGUCAAGUCAUGAAAGUCGGCAACACCUGAAGCCGGUGGCCCAACCCUUGUGGAGGGAGCCGUCGAAGGUGGGAUCGGUAAUUAGGACUAAGUCGUAACAA
rnacentral:rRNA from 2 species